rnacentral:rRNA from 1 species
CUGGGAGGACCAUCUCCUAAGGCUAAAUACUCUCUAGUGACCGAUAGUGAACCAGUACCGUGAGGGAAAGGUGAAAAGCACCCCGGAAGGGGAGUGAAAUAGAACCUGAAACCGUGUGCUUACAAGUAGUCAGAGCCCGUUAAUGGGUGAUGGCGUGCCUUUUGUAGAAUGAACCGGCGAGUUACGAUUUGAUGCAAGGUUAAGCAGUAAAUGUGGAGCCGUAGCGAAAGCGAGUCUGAAUAGGGCGUUUAGUAUUUGGUCGUAGACCCGAAACCAGGUGAUCUACCCUUGGUCAGGUUGAAGUUCAGGUAACACUGAAUGGAGGACCGAACCGACUUACGUUGAAAAGUGAGCGGAUGAACUGAGGGUAGCGGAGAAAUUCCAAUCGAACCUGGAGAUAGCUGGUUCUCUCCGAAAUAGCUUUAGGGCUAGCCUCAAGUGAUGAUUAUUGGAGGUAGAGCACUGUUUGGACGAGGGGCCCCUCUCGGGUUACCGAAUUCAGACAAACUCCGAAUGCCAAUUAAUUUAACUUGGGAGUCAGAACAUGGGUGAUAAGGUCCGUGUUCGAAAGGGAAACAGCCCAGACCACCAGCUAAGGUCCCAAAAUAUAUGUUAAGUGGAAAAGGAUGUGGCGUUGCCCAGACAACUAGGAUGUUGGCUUAGAAGCAGCCAUCAUUUAAAGAGUGCGUAAUAGCUCACUAGUCGAGUGACACUGCGCCGAAAAUGUACCGGGGCUAAACAUAUUACCGAAGCUGUGGAUUGUCCUUUGGACAAUGGUAGGAGAGCGUUCUAAGGGCGUUGAAGCAUGAUCGUAAGGACAUGUGGAGCGCUUAGAAGUGAGAAUGCCGGUGUGAGUAGCGAAAGACGGGUGAGAAUCCCGUCCACCGAUUGACUAAGGUUUCCAGAGGAAGGCUCGUCCGCUCUGGGUUAGUCGGGUCCUAAGCUGAGGCCGACAGGCGUAGGCGAUGGAUAACAGGUUGAUAUUCCUGUACCACCUAUAAUCGUUUUAAUCGAUGGGGGGACGCAGUAGGAUAGGCGAAGCGUGCGAUUGGAUUGCACGUCUAAGCAGUAAGGCUGAGUAUUAGGCAAAUCCGGUACUCGUUAAGGCUGAGCUGUGAUGGGGAGAAGACAUUGUGUCUUCGAGUCGUUGAUUUCACACUGCCGAGAAAAGCCUCUAGAUAGAAAAUAGGUGCCCGUACCGCAAACCGACACAGGUAGUCAAGAUGAGAAUUCUAAGGUGAGCGAGCGAACUCUCGUUAAGGAACUCGGCAAAAUGACCCCGUAACUUCGGGAGAAGGGGUGCUCUUUAGGGUUAACGCCCAGAAGAGCCGCAGUGAAUAGGCCCAAGCGACUGUUUAUCAAAAACACAGGUCUCUGCUAAACCGUAAGGUGAUGUAUAGGGGCUGACGCCUGCCCGGUGCUGGAAGGUUAAGAGGAGUGGUUAGCUUCUGCGAAGCUACGAAUCGAAGCCCCAGUAAACGGCGGCCGUAACUAUAACGGUCCUAAGGUAGCGAAAUUCCUUGUCGGGUAAGUUCCGACCCGCACGAAAGGCGUAACGAUUUGGGCACUGUCUCAACGAGAGACUCGGUGAAAUCAUAGUACCUGUGAAGAUGCAGGUUACCCGCGACAGGACGGAAAGACCCCGUGGAGCUUUACUGUAGCCUGAUAUUGAAAUUCGGCACAGCUUGUACAGGAUAGGUAGGAGCCUUUGAAACGUGAGCGCUAGCUUACGUGGAGGCGCUGGUGGGAUACUACCCUAGCUGUGUUGGCUUUCUAACCCGCACCACUUAUCGUGGUGGGAGACAGUGUCAGGCGGGCAGUUUGACUGGGGCGGUCGCCUCCUAAAAGGUAACGGAGGCGCUCAAAGGUUCCCUCAGAAUGGUUGGAAAUCAUUCAUAGAGUGUAAAGGCAUAAGGGAGCUUGACUGCGAGACCUACAAGUCGAGCAGGGUCGAAAGACGGACUUAGUGAUCCGGUGGUUCCGCAUGGAAGGGCCAUCGCUCAACGGAUAAAAGCUACCCCGGGGAUAACAGGCUUAUCUCCCCCAAGAGUUCACAUCGACGGGGAGGUUUGGCACCUCGAUGUCGGCUCAUCGCAUCCUGGGGCUGUAGUCGGUCCCAAGGGUUGGGCUGUUCGCCCAUUAAAGCGGUACGCGAGCUGGGUUCAGAACGUCGUGAGACAGUUCGGUCCCUAUCCGUCGUGGGCGUAGGAAAUUUGAGAGGAGCUGUCCUUAGUACGAGAGGACCGGGAUGGACAUACCUCUGGUGUACCAGUUGUCGUGCCAACGGCAUAGCUGGGUAGCUAUGUGUGGACGGGAUAAGUGCUGAAAGCAUCUAAGCAUGAAGCCCCCCUCAAGAUGAGAUUUCCCAACUUCGGUUAUAAGAUCCCUCAAAGAUGAUGAGGUUAAUAGGUUCGAGGUGGAAGCAUGGUGACAUGUGGAGCUGACGAAUACUAAUCGAUCGAAGACUUAAUCAAAA